rnacentral:rRNA from 1 species
CUACGGGUGGCUGCAGUUAGGAAUAUUCGUCAAUGGGGGAAACCCUGAACGAGCAAUGCCGCGUGAAGGAUGACGGUCCUAUGGAUUGUAAACUUCUGUUGUUAGGGAAGAACGACUAAUAGAGGAAAUGCUAUUAGAGUGACGGUACCUUUCAAGAAAGCUCCGGCUAACUACGUGCCAGCAGCCGCGGUAAUACGUAGGGAGCGAGCGUUAUCCGGAUUUAUUGGGUGUAAAGGGUGCGUAGGCGGUUUUACAGGUCUAUGGUUUAAGUCCGAAGCUUAACUUCGGUUCGCCAUAGAACCGUUUAACUUGAGUAUGGUAGAGGCAAGUGGAAUUUCUAGUGUAGCGGUUAAAUGCGUAGAUAUUAGAAGGAACACCAGUGGCGAAGGCGACUUGCUGGGCCAUUACUGACGCUGAGGCACGAAAGCGUGGGGAGCAAAUAGGAUUAGAUACCCCCGUAGUC